ACCCAGCUGGUUCAGUCAGGAGAGCAUGUGACUCUUGAUCUCAGGUUUGUGGGUUCGAACCCCAUGUUGGGUG
rnacentral:tRNA from 1 species